rnacentral:rRNA from 1 species
GGGCCCGCACAAGCGGUGGAGCAUGUGGUUUAAUUCGAUGAUACGCGAGGAACCUUACCAGGGCUUAAAUGGGAAAUGACAGGGGCAGAGACGCCCCCUUCUUCGGACAUUUUUCAAGGUGCUGCAUGGUUGUCGUCAGCUCGUGCCGUGAGGUGUCAGGUUAAGUCCUAUAACGAGCGCAACCCCUACCGUUAGUUGCCAGCGUGUAAUGACGGGGACUCUAACGGAACUGCCGGUGCAAACCGUGAGGAAGGUGGGGACGACGUCAAAUCAUCACGGCCCUUACGUCCUGGCCACACACGUGCUACAAUCGGCAGUGACAAUGGGUUAAUCCCCAAAAGCUGUCUCAGU